UGAAGGAUAAUUAUCUGACUAAUAUUCUGCAUGCUGUUGAAAGAGUACCAUGCUAGAUCAAUUGAACAGAAAGUGUGAGUUUUAGCAUAGUAGUACAAUUCUAGUCCUUUGGUUGUAUCUCAUUACAGUUACAUUUUCCCACAAUCCUGACUGAAGGAUAAUUAUCUGACUAAUAUUCUGCAUGCCGUUGAAAGAGUACCAUGCUAGAUCUGAGAUUUGCUGGCAGAUCCUUUCAGGAAUG
rnacentral:lncRNA from 1 species